rnacentral:rRNA from 1 species
UACGUAGGGCGCAAGCGUUGUCCGGAAUUAUUGGGCGUAAAGAGCCCGUAGGCGGCUUGUCACGUCGGUUGUGAAAGCCCGGGGCUUAACCCCGGGUCUGCAGUCGAUACGGGCAGGCUAGAGUUCGGUAGGGGAGACUGGAAUUCCUGGUGUAGCGGUGAAAUGCGCAGAUAUCAGGAGGAACACCGGUGGCGAAGGCGGGUCUCUGGGCCGAUACUGACGCUGAGGAGCGAAAGCGUGGGGAGCAAACAGG